rnacentral:sRNA from 1 species
UAGUCAUGUUUUUAUUUGCUGAGAGUCUUAUUCGAAAUAGGAGAAUCUAAAUCAGAUCUGAUUCAAACAUUGAAUCAAAAUGGUGAGUUAAUUGGUUGAAGGAUUGCGAGGGAAUUGCUAGACGCACUCGCACUUCCCUCGCAAAUAUUACCCUAAACCCUAAAUUAUUAAAAAUCAUAAGUUGCGAGGGACUUGCGAGGAGUUUUCGCUAUUCCCUCGCAAUAUGUAGUGCGUUUUAAUUGGUUUAAAAAUCUUCCUCGCAAUUUCAAAGCAAACUACGCGAGGGUUUUGCGAGGAAAUAAAUUCCUAUAUAUACUCGAAGACCUAGUUUGAGCUCCGCUCAAACCAGCCGCAUCAAACCCUAACCCUAAAAAUUUUCUUCGAUUCUCUUCUUCUUCUCUGAUCUCUUCGGCGCCGGAUCUCUUCUUCUCCGAUCUAAUUCCGUCGCCGCCUCUCUUCUUCUUCUUCUCUAAUCUGUUAUACUCAUCGCCGCCUCUCUUCUUCUCCGAUAUAAUUACGGCGCAGACUCUCUUCGCCGCCUCUCUUCUUCUUUGAUCUGUGCUCCAGAACCGCCGCGUCUCUUCUUCUCCGACUCGAUAUGUUUUGCCUCAAAGGUAACCUCUGUUUCUCCGAUCUAAGUUCUUCUCUCAAAUCUAACUUAUUCUUCUUCUCCGAUCUUACUUCUUUUUCCCAGAUCUAACUCUUGAUUUGUUUUUUGUGCAAGAUGCCGUCGGAUAAUACUUAUGUACGGUUUAGACAACAGCAGCGUGACCCGUUGCAUGUCAAUUCUCUUUUUA